GCCGCCGAGGGAGCGGCGGGGCCGGCGCCAUGGCCGAGCGAGGCCGCCUCGGCCUCCCCGGCGCGCCCGGCGCGCUCAACACGCCUGUGCCCAUGAACCUGUUCGCCACCUGGGAGGUGGACGGCUCCAGCCCCAGCUGCGUGCCCAGGUUGUGCAGCCUGACUCUGAAGAAGCUGGUGGUCUUUAAGGAGCUGGAGAAGGAGCUGAUCUCCGUGGUGAUCGCUGUCAAGAUGCAGGUGAGGCCCCUUGCGCCCCCAGCCGUGGCUGGGUGCUGUGUAGGCUUUCCAUGUACCUGGGAGACGAGUCAGGCGGUGCGCUAGCGUGGGGCGUUGUGCCAAAACUGCGGGCAGCCCAUGCCAUCUCCGGGAGCCGGGGGGCUGGGAAUGACAGGAUGCUCCUGG
rnacentral:sRNA from 1 species